GGUUGAACUCAGGACCUUGCACUGGAGAGGCCCUUCCACAGCCCCGCCCUUUUCCAUUCUCUGUGUGGAGGAGCAGAGGACACACGGCACCGCCCUCAAGGGAGGCCCCUGUGUCUCAGCAGUGACCCUCCAGGAAGAGAGCCAAUCUCUUGCAACUUCUGGCCUAAGUGACUGCUGCUAGGAAUGUCCAAAGGUGGAGGACACCCAGAUCUGCUCAGACUGUCCCCACGAGCACAAGAGGCAGAGGAUCAGGUCAGGGAGAGUUUAUUGAUCCUGAGAGGUGCUGACAGGCUGAGGCCCAGGGCGCUGACGGAGCAGAGGACCCUGGAGGAGAGGCACCCAGCUUCUCCCUGCCAGCCCUUCCCCUGGGUGCUGCCGCAGCCCGGCUCCGCCGUGGGCACCUCAGUGUCUGUCUCAGAUUACGCCCACCACGUGGCACGGAGGAGGUCCAGGAGCCUCUGCCCCAUCGGUGGCCGUGAUGAUAUCUCCAGAAGUCCCACCCUUCAGCCAGUCACAGUGUGGAUCCGGAUUCCCCAUCUUUACCCACAAAGCACACACGUGCCUACGGUGCUAACACCCAGGACAGCCCUUCUCCCUCGGGGCCUUCUAGGGUGAGCCAGUGAGAACCCCGUGGACGGCUGCCACUCCCUGCCCCAAACGGCCUAGGUGUCAGAAGAGGGUGUGGGUUCCAAUUCUGAACACACAGUGGCUACAGCAGUGAACCCCCAACCCUGUCCAGGCGUCUGCCCCUAACAUGGGUCCCGGCUCACAGGCAGGAGCAGAAGCCACAGCCAGGCGACAGCCACAGAGACUCUGACGCCAGACGCAGUGAGGCCGAGCUCGGCUGCCCUGCCUUCCCCCGCACCUGUCCCCACCACUGCAGGGGACACGGUGCCGCGGGAGGGAGGACAGACUCAGGGCAGGAAGGCCGUGUCCUUCCACAAUGUCCCCGAGGCCCAUGCAUGUUUCAUGGGGGAGGCAAGACCUGUGGGUUCCGACUGGAGCAGGAAUUCAGCCCUGCCUGCUUGGGGUACAGAAUAUGGCCCGCUUUUAAGGGCCAGCGCUGCAGGUGAGGGCCGGUGACAGAUAAGGCGGUGCCCUAUCCCUGGCCUUCUUCUCGGUGGCUCUGAGCUGUUCUGACUGCAGGUCUCUGCCGAUCCUGUUCUUGCUCGCCUUCCCCUAGACAUGGAGCCAUCCCAGGAGCUGGACGCUUGCUUCUCCUGCUGGCCACACCACCUCCAAGGGCCUAAAAUGGUGCCUGACAUGCAAUAGAUCUGGACAAAAAUAGCUGGAAAAGAGUGGCCUUUUUUUUGGAAAGAAAUUACGGAAGGGUAUGUUUGGGUUCUGAAGUGAUUCUUUUGGGCCAGGUUUUUCUGCGUGGUGCAAAUGCUCGCCAAGCUGUGCUCCCACGGGUGGGCAGCUGGCUUGAAUCGGCCUGGCUGUCUGGCAGAGGGCAAUGUGGACACAGGCUUAACAGAGGAAUCCCUCACAGAGGCAGCAGGAAGCUCAGGGCAGACACCAGAGACCAAGGCUUGGCAGGGAAGGAGCAAGGACUGCCUUUCCGCUCCUGCACAUUUCCCCCUGGAGGGCCUUUCAACUCCCAGGACACAGCCCUGAGGCUCAGAGCUGAGCAGAGCUGUUCCUUUUCUCAGAAUGGAAGACAAGAAGUCAGAGCUUAGGCCCUGAUGAGGCGGGGGAUUCCAGUUAAGCACCCAGGCUUUGGGUUGCAAACCCAGAACGGAAGUGAAGGGCUGGGCACUGGCAAGAAAGCAAAGCAGACCAGCACCAUCUCUGACUCAGCUCAGGCUGAACUCGGGUGACCUUCCCGUGGCACUCCUGUCCCCCGGAAACCACAGUUCAUUCUCGCUGGAGUCAGGCAGCAUCAACCAAGACUCAAAUGAUCUCUGUAUUUUCCUCCACCGGUCUUGCAUUCAGCCAGGUGUUCCUAGGCGUACUACAAGACAGGAGUGACUGACUCAGGGCCAAGAGAAAAACAAGCAACAGAAGCAGGUGUGCAGGGGACCUAGAUGUCUGGCUUUUCAGCGGUGGACUGACAGAUUUCUUUUUCUCAAGAAAACUGGGGAAAGCUAGAGAAUUUCAGAGACAACAGUGAUUCCAUAAAAAAAAAUCAAACAUAAAUUCUAGAAAUGAAGAACACAGUAAGUGAAUUUCAAACAGAGCAGGUAGUUGAACAGCACAUUAACCAUACCAAAGAGAUAGGGAAGGGUGGGAGGCAAGGAAGUACCAAGGCUCUACUUGGAGAAAGGAUGGGGUAAAGUCGAGGAAACAGCACUAAACAUAAGGGACAUGGUGCAAAAUGGUUUAAAUCCUAAAAGGAAAGAUGUGUGAAUAGGGCAGUCAAGUUCUAGGAAAUAAACUAGACCAGCACUUUAAAUGGACAGGGCAUUGACCCAAGGUGCAAAGGACAUGACAGAACACCGUGCCUAAACACAACAAGUUUGAAAUCCAAAGGCAGAGAAAAGUGGAACAGUCAGAGGGCGACCAAAAAGAGACACAGUGCCUUCCAAGAGACUGGCAGAGGACUUCCUGGUGGAAACGCUGGAGGCCAGAAGACACUGGAUCGCAUCUUCACCGUCUGAAAGGAGAAGGGAGCACCGAGCUGGGUCUGCCCCCGGCGGUGUCCUCGGGCACGAGGACAGAGCACUGGGGAGAACGCGCCAGCAGCCGGACCUGGGCCGAGCAGCCAACGAAGUCCUGAAGGGAGCAGAAGCGGGCACGCGUGGGCCCCUCUCAGGGACGGGCACACCGGUGUCGCUUUGUGAGUACUGACGGAAGCGAAACACAUGCGGUCAGGCCGGAAACCUCAGGAGGGGCUUCGUGGAGUUGCAAGGGUGGACGCCACGGGACGGCACAGCGACAAGAUGUCACUGCCUGCGUCAGGACGGCGAGCGGCUCUAUCCCCAGAUGCACCUUGCUUCAGCCCCUCAGGACGUGUUCCUCAAGAGCGACCAGAAAUGAAGUCGGUCAUCUGAGUUCUACAACAGCAGCUGGAAACUUUAAUAGGAGACUCUCGCUAAGCUUAAAAAGUGAAAUAACAGAGUAGAUCCGAGUUCAGUAAGGAAACCGAGGACUGGAAGAACGCCAUAGCCAGCCAGGGCCGACACGCAUGUACAAAGUGGUCUACAGCCAUGGCAGGGCAGAUCCUCUCCAGUACACGGGGGGGGGGGCCAGGACAGUGUCAGGCCACGGACGAGGCUCAGCAAUCGAAAAUGAUGGAACACGUAGAGUAUCUUCUCUAUCGUAAUGGAAAGAAGCUGGAAAUUCAGAGAAAGAUCAUUGGAAUCCACAAAUAUGGGUGAAUUAAACACCACUGUUAGACAAUCACUGGGUCCAAGAAGAAUUCAAACAGAGGGUGGAAAAUGCUUUGAGGUAAAUUAGAAAAACACAAAGACCCAGAGCUUGAGAGAUGCAGCGAGAGCUGUACUCAGAGGGAAAAUGAUACAUUUAAACUCUUGCCUUUCAAAAAAAAGAUCUCAAGCCAGCAAUUUAGCUUUGUACUUGAAGAAUCAAUAAAAGCAAGAGCAAAUUAAAUCCAAGGCCCACAAAAGAAAGAAGAGAAGGGUUAGUGUACAGGUAAAUAAAAUAGAAGGUAGAAAAACAAUAGAAUCAAUGACGCUGAAAUUUUAGUUCUUUGAAUAGAGCAACAGAAUUGAAAAGCUUUCAUUAUACCGACUGAAAACACAAAAUAUAUGGACGUAUCAGCACUGACCUUAUAGAGAUAAAAUGAUUGUAAAACAGUACCGUGAAUAGGACAAACAGGACAUAGUGAACAAAUCACCGUAAGGAUGCUAAUGCCCCGACCUGAGGUCUUACUGUUGCUCUUUGUUUCUUCCUAUAGCUUGGAGUUACUGGCACAGCCUGUGCGUUUCACCCUGGAUUAGCAUUACUUGCAAGCCAGGUCUACUCGCAGUCCACCUCUCAGCUUGUGUAUCUGUGAAUGUGCUGUGCUCACUCUCUUUUUAAAGGGUAAUUUUUCCAGGUGCAAACUCUUCUUGGUCAAGAGUGUCUCCCUCACCCCAGACUUUUGAUGCUGCAUUCAGCUCUCCCUGACCCCACUGUUUCUGACGAGAAGCCACUGUUAACCUGUCUGAGCGCACUCAGGAUCCUCUGUGAUUCUGACUCAUGAUGGUUUGAUAAUCAGGUGUCUCCACGCAGCUUUACUUGAGCUUAUUCUGCAUGGAGUCUCAUGGAGUCUAUGCGUUUCUUGAAAGUUUAGAUGUGUGUGUCUUAUGAAAACUAGGAGUGCUUCAAAUUGUGUUGCUCUUUCCUACUUCUCUCCUUCGGGAGCUCCUGAGAAGAGUACUUUGGUAUUCUAGAGGGUGUCCCACAAGUGUCUUAAGAUUUGUUCCCUUUGCAUUUACAAAAAUGUUCUUUAGACUACCAUAUUUUAGUGUAUCUUCAUGUUCACUAAUUCUUGUACUGCACAAACCUCUUUAAACCCUAGGGGUCAUUUUUCAUGUCCAUUAUUG
ensembl:lincRNA